UCAAGCGAACAAGAGCGCAAGGGGAAUGCCUUGGCAUCAGGAGCCGAUGAAGGACGUGAUAAGCUGCGAAAAGCUUCGGGGAGCUGCAAAUAAGCAUUGAUCCGGAGAUGUCCGAAUGGGGAAACCCACCUGAGCAAACCUCAGGUAACGCAUAGUGAAUCAAAUAGCCAUGCGUGGGGAACCGCCUGAACUGAAACAUCUAAGUAGGGCGAGGAAAAGUAAUCAACCGAGAUUCCGAAAGUAGUGGCGAGCGAAAUCGGAAGAGGCCAAACCGUACGUAGCAAUAUGUGCGGGGUUGUGGACGGCAAUGUCGGUAAGCUUCGUUAGACGAAUGGUCUGGGAAGGCCAGUCAAAGAGUGUGAGAGCCACGUAGUCGAAAAUGAAGUGAACGUAGCCGGAUCCAGAGUACCGCGGGGCACGAGGAAUCCCGUGGGAAGCCGGGGGGACCACCCUCCAAGCCAAAAUACUACCUGAUGACCGAUAGAGGAGCAGUACCGUGAGGGAAAGGUGAAAAGCACCCCGGGAGGGGAGUGAAACAGUACCUGAAACCGUGCGCCCACGAGCAGUCGGAGCACCUAUAUGGUGUGACGGCGUGCCUUUUGUAGAAUGAGCCAGCGAGUCGCUGGCGCGGGGCGAGGUUAACCGAAAGGGAGCCGGAGCGAAAGCGAGCCUUAACAGGGCGACUUGAGUCCCGCGCCGCGGACGCGAAGCCGGGUGAGCUAUCCGUGGGCAGGCUGAAGCGGGGGUAAGACCCCGUGGAGGGCCGAACGCACGUCGGUUGAAAACGGCGGCGAUGACCUGCGGAUAGGGGUGAAAGGCCAAUCAAACCCGGAGAUAUCUCGUUCUCCCCGAAAUAGCUUUAGGGCUAGCGUCGCGCGUUCACCGCCGGAGGUAGAGCACCGGAUGGACGAGGGGGCUUCGCCGCCUACCGAAUCCAACCGAACUCCGAAUGCCGGCGGCCCAGAGCGCGGCAGUCAGAGCAUGUGGGCUAAGCUGUGUGCUCGAGAGGGAAACAGCCCGGACCGCCCGCUAAGGUCCCCAAGUUCCAGCCGAGUGGCAAAGGAUGUGCGUCCGCCCAGACAACCAGGAUGUUGGCUUAGAAGCAGCCAUACAUUCAAAGAGUGCGUAACAGCUCACUGGUCGAGUGGACAUGCGCCGACAAUACACGGGGCUAAGCUGGACACCGAAGCGGCGGGAUUUUGAUUUACAGAAUCGGUAGGGGAGCUUCCCAUGGGCGGCGAAGCCGCCGGGCGACCGGCGGUGGAGCGCAUGGGAGUGAGAAUGCUGGCAUGAGUAGCGAGAGACGAGAGAGUAACUCGUCCGCCGUGAACCCGAGGUUUCCUGGGCAAGGCUAAUCCUCCCAGGGUCAGUCGGGGGCUAAGGCGAGGCCGGGAGGCGUAGCCGACGCGCAGCAGGCAGACAUUCCUGCACCGCGCACGCGGCGCUACGACCGACGGGGCGACGGAUGGGGGUGGCUCGGCGGGGUUCUGGACGUCCCCGUGAUGGAGCGCGGCCCGCGGACCAGGGAAAUCCGGUCCGCACGAGGGCGAGGCUCCGGACGAAGCAUCUGAGCGAAGCGAGUGAGCCCGAGGUCCCUAGAAAAACCCCUAGGCAGGCGCGUGCGCGCCCGUACCGCAAACCGACACAGGUGGGUGGGUAGAACAUACCGAGGCGAUCGGGUCAACCAUGGUCAAGGAACUCGGCACAAUGGCCCCGUAACUUCGGGAGAAGGGGUGCCCGCGCGUACGUGAACGGACUUGCUCCGGGAGCGGAGGCGGGCCGCAGUGGAGAGGCCCAAGCGACUGUUUACCAAAAACACAGGACUCUGCAGAAGCCGCAAGGCGACGUAUAGGGUCUGACGCCUGCCCGGUGCCGGAAGGUCACGCGGAGGAGUUAGCCGCAAGGCGAAGCCCCGAAGCCAAGCCCCGGUAAACGGCGGCCGUAACUAUAACGGUCCUAAGGUAGCGAAAUUCCUUGUCAGGUAAG
rnacentral:rRNA from 1 species